GAACCUGAAUGGUAAAGAUGAACAUGAGAAGACCAGCAACCUCCAGGACCAACAACAUCAAGUCUCAGAAACUACAAGAGAGCUGGGAUUGGCCACAGCCCAGGAAGAGAGCAUCCUGAAGAAUGAGUCUCCACCCCAGGAGCCUCCUGCUGAGCUCCAUCUGCCCCUCCCCCACAGCCCCAGACUUCCUUGGAUGAAUCUUCUUCCUCAUAGUUCAUUUCCUAUGUGUGAAUAGGCCCUAACUAUGAAGCCAGCUAGACAGCAUGGCUGAUUCAGGGCCUUAUUUCCCUUCUUGUUCUGAAAACACCCUUUGAGAGAGAACUGAGGUGACUGCCCUGCCACCGAGUGUCCAAGAGGAAACUCUGCUAAUUGUG
rnacentral:lncRNA from 1 species